AUGGUCCGGUGCGGUAAGACAACGGGAGCCAAAUGCAAAGUCAAUUGGAAAAUAGUUUAUAGGCCAAAGGAAUAUGGUGGCCUGGGGGUACUCAACACCGAAGAAUUUUCGCGGGCUUUACGUCUUCGUUGGCUGUGGUAUGAAUGGAAGGAGCCCCACAAGCCUUGGGUGGGGUUUGGUAACCCUUGCACCGCCGAGGACCUCGAGUUUUUCUACGCCUCUACAAUUAUCACUGUGGGUGAUGGUGCAAAAACACCGUUCUGGGACUCCCCUUGGCUAUUUGGGCGGAAACCCAUGGAUAUUGCUCCAUUAAUCUGCGAGGCUUCAAGGAGAAAGAAUUGGAAGGUGCGUGAAGCCCUCUAUGAGAAUGCAUGGAUUCUCAAAAUCAAUCCAAACAUUGUUAUCUCCAUUCGCCACAUUAGCGAAUUCUUCACUCUUUGGAUGCUUGUUCAUGACUUCCCCCUUGACGACCAAGCCGAAGACCACAUUACUUGGAAGCACGCGAACAAUGGGAUCUACUCGGCGGCCACUGCGUACAAGGCUCUGUUCCUUGGAUUGACUCUCUCUCCCAUGGACCGUAUGUUUUGGAAGGCUUGGGCACCCCCUAAGGUAAAAUUCUUUGCGUGGCUUGCCCUGCAAGACCGAAUUUGA
rnacentral:rRNA from 1 species